GAGCACGUAGGUGGGUUUGUAAGUCAGAUGUGAAAGCCUUCUGUUCAACGGAAGAAUUGCAUCUGAAACUACAAACCUUGAGUAUAGGAGGGGUGAAUGGAACUUCUGGUGGAGCGGUGAAAUGCGUAGAUAUCAGAAGGAACUCCGGCGGCGAAAGCGAUUCUCUGGCCUAUUACUGACACUCAGUGUGCGAAAGCUAGGGGAGCAAACGGGAUUAGAUACCCCGGUAGUCCUAGCCGUAAACGAUGGGCACUAAGUAGAGGGGUUUU
rnacentral:rRNA from 1 species